UAUGGUAUCAAUACAUUGUUUCCAGGGACCGGAGACCCUUCCAACAAGUGAUAUUAUACCAUCAGAUCAACAUAUACAUAUAACAGAUACAUAUUAAGUUCCUUCAUAUAGAACUAACUUGAUUAAUUCAUCACACACAUACGUGUCCGAAUUUUUUUGAUUUCGCAUCUAUCAUUACCAGGGACCGGAGACCCUUCAAAUCAAGACACUAGUGUUUAUGAAAAAACCGAAGAACCUUUCAAUAAAAACUCCGACAAAUACACAACAGAUUUUUAGUAUUGUCCAAGCAUGUUUCCAGGAACCGAAGAACCUUUCCACACAGACACAUAUUCAACAGAUUUUUAGUAUUGUCUAAGCAUGUUUCCAGGAACCGAAGAACCUCUCCACACAGACACAUAUUCAACAGAUUUUUAGUACUGUCAUAGCAUGUUUCCAGGAACCGAAGAACCUUUCCACACAAACAAAUACUCAACAGAUUUUAUUAGUAUUGUCUAAGCAUGUUUCCAGGAACCGAAGAACCUUUCCACACAGACACAUAUUCAACAGAUUUUUAGUAUUGUCAUAGCAUGUUUCCAGGAACCGAAGAACCUUUC